UACGGGGGGGGUAAGCGUUGUUCGGAAUUACUGGGCGUAAAGGGCUCGUAGGCGGCCAACUAAGUCAGACGUGAAAUCCCUCAGCUUAACUGGGGAACUGCGUCUGAUACUGGAUGGCUUGGAUUUGGGAGAGGGAUGCGGAAUUCCAGGUGUAGCGGUGAAAUGCGUAGAUAUCUGGAGGAACACCGGUGGCGAAGGCGGGUCUCUGGACAGUUCCUGACGCUGAGGCACGAAGGUCAGGGGAGCAAACGGG
rnacentral:rRNA from 1 species